AGAGUUUGAUCCUGGCUCAGAAUGAACGCUGGCGGCGUGCUUUACACAUGCAAGUCGAGCGAGGCCAGGUAGCAAUACCUGAGUCGAGCGGCGCACGGGUGAGUAACGCGUGGAUAACCUGCCUGAGGGUGGGGGAUAACCCGGGGAAACUCGGGCUAAUACCGCAUAAAACCGCGAGGUCAAAGGGGGCCGCAAGGCUCUCGCCUGCAGAGGGGUCCGCGUCCGAUUAGCUAGUUGGCAGGGUAAUGGCCUACCAAGGCGACGAUCGGUAGCCGGCCUGAGAGGGUGAUCGGCCACACUGGAACUGAGACACGGUCCAGACUCCUACGGGAGGCAGCAGUGGGGAAUUUUGCGCAAUGGGGGAAACCCUGACGCAGUAACGCCGCGUGGAGGAUGAAGGUCUUCGGAUUGUAAACUCCUGUCAGUGGGGAAAAAGGGGAACGUGCUCAUACCACGUUUCAUUGAUUGUACCCGCAGAGGAAGCCCCGGCUAACUCUGUGCCAGCAGCCGCGGUAAUACAGAGGGGGCAAGCGUUAUUCGGAAUUAUUGGGCGUAAAGGGCGCGUAGGCGGUCGUUCAAGUGGUAGGUGAAAUCCCUCGGCUCAACCGAGGAGCUGCCCGCCAAACUGAAUGACUUGAGUCCGGGAGAGGUGAGUGGAAUUCCCAGUGUAGCGGUGAAAUGCGUAGAUAUUGGGAGGAACACCAGUGGCGAAGGCGGCUCACUGGACCGGCACUGACGCUGAGGCGCGAAAGCGUGGGGAGCAAACGGGAUUAGAUACCCUGGUAGUCC
rnacentral:rRNA from 1 species